CCUACGGGGUGCAGCAGUGGGGAAUAUUGCGCAAUGGGCGAAAGCCUGACGCAGCGACGCCGCGUGAGGGAUGAAGGUCUUCGGAUCGUAAACCUCUGUCAGCAGGGAAGAACGGUCACUGUGCUAAUCAGCAGUGAAUUGACGGUACCUGCAAAGGACGCACCGGCUAACUCCGUGCCAGCAGCCGCGGUAAUACGGAGGGUGCGAGCGUUAAUCGGAAGUACUGGGCGUAAAGCGCUCGUAAGCGGUAUGUCAAGUCAAGGGUGAAAUCCCCGCGCUCAACGUGGGAACUGCCUUUGAAACUGGCAAACUGGAGUGUGUGAGAGGAUAGUGAAAUUCCAGGUGUAGGAGUGAAAUCCGUAGAUAUCUGGAGGAACAUCAGUGGCGAAGGCGACUAUCUGGCACAUAACUGACGCUGAGGAGCGAAAGCGUGGGUAGCAAACAGGAUUAGAUACCCCAGUAGUC
rnacentral:rRNA from 1 species